rnacentral:rRNA from 1 species
CUACGCACGUCCUACGGGAGGCAGCAGUGGGGAAUAUUGCACAAUGGGCGCAAGCCUGAUGCAGCCAUGCCGCGUGUAUGAAGAAGGCCUUACGGGUUGUUAAAGUACUUUCAGCAGUGAGGAAGGUGGGUAUGUUAAUAGCAUACUCAUUUGACGUUAGCUGCAGAAGAAGCACCGGCUAACUCCGUGCCAGCAGCCGCGGUAAUACGGAGGGUGCGAGCGUUAAUCGGAAUUACUGGGCGUAAAGCGCAUGCAGGUGGUUUGUUAAGUCAGAUGUGAAAGCCCGGGGCUCAACCUCGGAAUUGCAUUUGAAACUGGCAAACUAGAGUACUGUAGAGGGGGUAGAAUUUCAGGUGUAGCGGUGAAAUGCGUAGAGAUCUGAAGGAAUACCGGUGGCGAAGGCGGCCCCCUGGACAGAUACUGACACUCAGAUGCGAAAGCGUGGGGAGCAAACAGGAUUAGAUACCCUGGUAG